rnacentral:lncRNA from 1 species
CCUUGUAUCAUAUAACACGCAAUUAAUCAAAGCAAACAUUACACAAUUCAUGUUAAUAGUUAUUUUCUAUAGUUGGAAUUAAGUAAUCAUUACAUAAGAGAAAGGAGAGUGUGAACUGCUUUUUUAAUGCGGUUAGACAUUGUUUAUUCCAUUUCACUUGUCAAUAACAAUGAACUGGCUCCUCAAUGAAAUUGACACGUUUCUAACAAACGUGUGGGAAUCCGCUGAUAAAUUUCUGGAGACAAUCCUGAUAAAAUGUGGAUAGUCGGUUUACAAAAAAAUUGACAUUGCCAUAUUGUUAUCGUCUCAACAAAGAUUCAUAAAGGAUUUUUAUACGAACGAAAAGAUAACUUUUUAUACAAAUUAUCAUCAUCAUUCAAUAGGACCAAGAAAAUCAUGUACUUUUCACUUUUAGUCAUGUUGAUUGUUUUCAUAGGCACUGCAUGCAUUUUUAGUGUUAUACAUCAUCUUUUUCUUAAAAAAAAAUAAUAGAUACAAUAAUGCUGUCCACAAAUAAAUUAAUUUGAAAAGAUUUGUUAAUACAUUUGAAUGGAAUAAAAUCUGGAAAACAA